GGUGGGGUUAGAUGUUCACUACAAUGAAUUGAUGUGUAAAUGAUUAAAAAAGAGAGUUAUAGAUAAUAAAUCCACAACUUGAAGAAUCCACCAAGACAUCGGUGACGAAUAGAAACCUGAAACCAGUGACGAUGUUGAUAAGAGUUAUUCAUAUUAAUUAAUCUGUGGAGAGAAUGUAUGUUUGUGUUGUAUAGAUAUCACUUUGAACAGAUAUAUAAUAUAGACUGAAAUGUUUCUUGUUUCCUAUUGAUCUGCCCUGCCCAAAGUUUUAUGCCCCGCCUCCUUACAUCAGCAAACCAGAUUCACACCAGCCAAUCGUGAAGCUGUUGAGACUGGGUCCACACUGAGAAAAAUCCAAUGAAAACCAGAUUUAAACCAAAAUGAGAACCACAUUAAACAAACUAACAGAGCGUCUGCCAACAUCACCUCCCCGCUGCAUGUAAAUAUCAAACAGGAAGUGAUGUCAAUCUGGGCACGUAGUAAAACCCAGUCCAGCCUACAGCAUCACAGUGACGCCGGGUGGAAACUGGAUCCAAAAUGGCCCCUCCUCAUUACAGUUUGCACAGUUUGUGUGUUUCAUGGGCUCAGCCGAGCUUCGAUCUGCUGUGUGUUACAUUCCAGCUGCAGAAACAUCCAUCUGGACGAUCGCCACCACUAAAACUAAGCCAGAUCUGAUUCUACUGGCUUCUACUUUGGGUCUAAACUCGGCUAAGACCAUUCUGAUGAUUUCGAUGUACUGCUAGGAUGCCGUGGAAACGCCCACCAGGAGCAGGCAGUACAGUUCACUGCCCAUCAAAGGGCUUCCAGAUUUAAACCAAUUAGAAAGUGAAGGUGGGCUUGUGGGGGCGGGGAGCCUAAAGAGAGACAAACGAACGGAAGACUAAAUAUGGGAUAAUUAUUUGGACUGACUUAUGCAAAGCUUCUGACUUUGCUUUGUUCACAAGCUUUUAGGAUGAUCAGAGGUUUUAAGCAACAGCUGUUUCCAGUAUAAGAUAAAUAUCUUUACCUGGACAUGGUCUCUAUGCGGACAGCGGCUAAUGAUUACACCCUGAUACAAGUUGUUGUGCUAUGAGUCUACAUUUGUGGCAUCAACAACUCAAUGGCAGACCAAAAUUUUAGAUGACUGGUUUCUUGGAGUUUUUCCACCUUGAUGGGGGCAAAUUUCCCCACUUGGAAACUCACUUUUCCCAUUCUAAAUGGUGGCGAUAUGAAAAUUCAGAGCACAAAAUUCAGUUAAGAUUCCCCCAUGACUUGCAUGUAGAUCUCAGUUAUUGGCUUAAAUCUUCAGAUGGACGCUUCUGUCAGCGAGCUACUUUGGAGUGUUGCAAUUGUUUUUUACAUUUAUUUUAAUUUGUCUUCUGUCAGCCAAUCGAGUCUUUCUGGAAAGUUCUGGGUCUAUAAAAAAGUGAUGCUUCUUCCUCUUCUUCUUCUUGGGUUGUUUUUCUUGAAAGUGAAGCUGUUUUUAGCGUCGGUAUCUUCCUCCCGCAUGGUGACGUGUUUACUGCUCGUGUCGUUCAGUAUCUGAAGAUCAGUGUGAUUCUACUUCCUGUUUCCUGUGUGUGUGCGCGUGUGUGUUUGUGUGUGUGAGACCAUUACCUGUCCAUACCACUUCAUUUGCUCUUUUUAUCCUUUUUCUCAUCUUUUAUGCUUUUAUUUCCCCUCCAUUCACUUUUCUUUCCUUGUUUUUGUUUUACCCUCCCUCUUUAUUCUUCAUCAUCCUCUUCUCCACCUCUGUGAUGUGUCCUCUUGUGUCACAAUAUUCUACUCGGCAUCAGUAACCAUGGCGAUGGUGUUGACAGUGAUGAUGUGUGUGACUUGUUGCUAUGGAGACAUCCCCAACCCAAUUUCCCCCUGCUGUGUUUAUUCAAUGGAAAGUUUCAAUAAACGACAAACUCAUGUCAG
ensembl:lncRNA